rnacentral:rRNA from 1 species
GACGAACGCUGGCGGCGUGCUUAACACAUGCAAGUCGAACGAUGAAGCCGGAGCUUGCUCCGGUGGAUUAGUGGCGAACGGGUGAGUAACACGUGAGCAAUCUGCCCUUGACUCUGGGAUAACUGCGGGAAACUGUAGCUAAUACCGGAUACGACACCUUGGGGCAUCCCAGGGUGUGGAAAGAAUUUCGGUCAAGGAUGAGCUCGCGGCCUAUCAGCUAGUUGGUGAGGUAAUGGCUCACCAAGGCGACGACGGGUAGCCGGCCUGAGAGGGUGACCGGCGACAUUGGAAGUGGGACACGGUCGAGACUCGUCCGGGAGGGAGCAGUGGGGAAUAUUGCACAAUGGGCGAAAGCCUGAUGCAGCAACGCCGCGUGAGGGAUGAAGGCCUUCGGGUUGUAAACCUCUUAGCAGGGAAGAAGCGAAAGUGACGGUACCUGCAGAAAAAGCACCGGCUAACUACGUGCCAGCCGCCGCCGUAA